UUUCUUACCUGGCAGGGGAGACACCUUGAUCAUGAAGGAGGUUUUCCCAGGGUGAGGCUCAUCCAUUGCACUGUGGGUGUGCUGACCCCUGCGAUUUCCCCAAAUGCGGGAAACUCGACUGCAUAAUUUGUGGUAGUUCAGGGAAGUUUUCAAUGUGUGGC
rnacentral:snRNA from 1 species